CUUGUACAAUAAUAGGGCAAGCUCUAGAAGAUGUCCAAAAGAGUUCAAUCAAGCUUCAGAAGUGUUCUGAAGUAGUUAUCUUGUGAAGAUAAGUCUAGGAGGGACUUAGACUGAUCAGAAGAAGGGUUUGGAAGAGUUUGAGAGAAGAUGGUCCAAGGUGCAAAGAUAGGGCAAGAUAAGAAAGAGAUUCAGAGCAUGUGUAGUCAAAGAGAGCCAUCCAAAAGCAUCCAAUGGGAGUCUUCACAUGCUUGAUCCCUUUGGCAUCUUUUACUAGAUGCUGUCUACUUUACAGCCUGUCUCCAGCCUCUCUAGCUUGAGGAAACCUUAUCCAGACUGCUCCUUCCUUAUCCAAGGGCUCCUUGGUCGUGGGUAACUCUCCAAAGUGAAGCAAGAUCACUUUCCAAGCUUUAACUGAGUUACCACAGUAAAACUAAAGUUACUGUGGUAAAACUCCAAAGUUACUGUAUGCCUCAAUCCUCUUUCUCUAUCAAUGUCUCCUCUCUUUAUUACCUCAUCUCAACAUUAGGAUCUACUAAAGUCAAGCUUGAGGGGGAGUGUUGAACUGAAGAGAAGAUAGAGCUUGUACAAUAAUAGGGCAAGCUCUAGAAGAUGUCCAGAAGAGUUCAAUCAAGCUUCAGAAGUGUUCUGAAGUAGUUAUCUUGUGAAGAUAAGUCUAGGAGGGACUUAGACUGAUCAGAAGAAGGGUUUGGAAGAGUUUGAGAGAAGAUGGUCCAAGGUGCAAAGAUAGGGCGUGUGUACGGCCUCGUACGGACAUGGGCAACUAAGAGAAGGUGUGUGGAUCAUCAGAAGAAGGAGGAAGAGUAUUGGGCAUAAAUAGGGCGAGUGGUACGGACAGGAGAUCCGUACCAUCGACCGUACGACCACACCUCUCGACCACACAUCCGGGAAACUCAAAAGAAGAGAAGUGCAAAGUUAAGGCGUGGCUUGCUUGAAGAAAUGUGACCGUUGGAAGCUAAGGGAGGAGAGGAAUAUUCCUUAGGAUCAGAUGAGUCAAGAGACAGGCUGGAAAGGGAAAGGAGCUUUACCUUUACAGCCUUAGUCACUCACGGAUCCAUCCUAGCCGUGUAAUUCAAAUGAAGCUAUCUCCUCCCUCCAUUCAGUCAAGGCGCGCCUAUCCUGUCCAGCUUGCACUAAGAAGACCAGGACCUGUCUACUCUCAUCCUGUCCAUUCAUUUUAUUCAUCAUUUACUGUUGAGAUGAGGAGAUGAGGAGUGGAUACAUUGAUAGAGGAAGAGUAUUGGGUUAGUCAGUAACUUUGGGAUUUACCACAGUAACUUUAGUUUUACUGUGGUAACUAAAGUGAGAAGAAGAGAAGUUACCCGGAUGGGUUAAAUUGGAGUCUAACUGAGGUUAAUCCUUUCUUAUCCUAAGUGAGACGUUGGAAGAGGAUAAGGAAGGAUAAGGGAUCACUUUGACAGCCUGUAUGAUGCUGGAAAGGAGAGGAUGCUUUUACAC
rnacentral:lncRNA from 1 species